AUUUUGGGUGUACAGUCAUAAGUCGGACUCCGAGGAGCCAGGAAGUAACUGUGAGCCAUGCAGCUCAUGAGACGGAUAAAGUAGCGCGAGCGAGCGUCUGUUGUCAUCAGUCGGGGAUCACACGCGCGAGAGUGAGGAAGAACAACACGCCAACUGCAAAUUACAGCCCUAUCUAGUCCAGCACAACUCACGGACCCCACAAGAGGCGAAAUCCGAAGGAGGUUUGACACUUUAAAGAAUACAAAGCUCACUACAACAUACUCCAUCAUUAGAAGAAGAGAAAAAGACGGAAGGAAAUAAGAGCGGGACUUGCGUGUUUCAAGACAACGAUUCACACUCUCUUUGCAAGUUUAGACAAAUACAAUUAUCACAAUUGAUCAAAUCGCGUUCGAGAUGCCUCGGGUGGUCCCGGAUCAGAGGAGCAAGUUCGAGAACGAGGAGUUCUUCAGGAAACUCAGUCGCGAGUGCGAGAUUAAAUACACCGGUUUCCGCGACCGGCCGCAUGAAGAGAGGCAGGCGCGCUUCCAGAACGCGUGCCGUGACGGCCGCUCAGAGAUCGCUUUUGUGGCGACCGGCACCAACCUCUCGCUGCAGUUCUUCCCAGCCAACCUUCAUGGGGAUCAGCGGCAGGCGCCCACCCGAGAAUAUGUGGACUUCGAGCGGGAGACGGGAAAGGUUUAUCUGAAGGCUCCUAUGAUCCUGAAUGGAGUGUGUGUGAUCUGGAGAGGCUGGAUUGAUCUUCAGCGUCUGGAUGGGAUGGGUUGUCUGGAAUAUGAUGAUGAAAGGGCACAGCAUGAGGAUGCUCUGGCCCAGGCAGCCUUUGAGGAAGCCCGCAGAAGAACCCGUGAUUUUGAGGACAGGGAUCGCUCGCACCGCGAGGACAUGGAGCAGAUACCGAUGGCACAGCUCAGUCAUUUAAUAACUCAGGAGGACCCUGUGGCAUCAAAAAUCUGGGACUGAUGGCCUUCAAGGACCAGGGUCUGUCUCCUCUGCUUCUCUCUAUCCUUGUGUCAUGCACUAAACCGUGUCUGUCUCCCAGGCGACAGCAGGACCCCAGCACUGGCUCCAACAUGGGCAACACUGAUGAUCACAAGAUGCGCUAGCGGCAUUCACCAAAGUGGGCAGGGAUAGGGUCAUAAGACCUCCAACACCACAGCAAUCUCAUCUCUUGAUGCCUUGUUUAUCACAGGACAGACCAAAGUCCACACCGGUGGGGAUUUUCGGAUGGGAUGUUUGGUGAAGGGGCUGGGUGGGUUUGGGCUGGGCUGGUAUUGAUGUGCGUCAGAGAUUCUUUCGGAUUUGAUUUAGUCCCUUGUUUCUUCUCGGGAAUUUUUGCACUAUGUGAUAUGUUCAGUUUAAGUCCCUCAUAUCGCCUUUCGGUAUGCAUGGUCUUCCUGCCUAUGUUUGCUCUUGUUCCCCUCUAUGCAAGGCAUCUUAUUUAAUCCUAUUGUAAUGAAAUGGCAUUUUUUAAUUAUUUUAUUCGUAUCGUGUGUGAAAGUCAGGAUGUUUACUUUUUGUAUUUUCAUUUCCUCUCUAUAUAAACAUGUCUGUCCUCGUGCUUUGUAAGAGAAUCUAGUAAAUGUCGCUAGAUAGAUUUGUGCAGUAGAGUAGAACUUUUUUUUUUUUAAGUCAAGUCUAGAAAGAGGCUGCUGAUGUUGUGAACGAGGAGGUCUUUUCUUUUAUCAUCCUUCUCCAUGUGCUCUUGUCUUCCACUCUCUUCCUGUAACAGUCAGUUGAAGCAUGCUUUGAACGUGAACUGAGCAGCAGGAAGUGAAUAUUGAGGUCAGUGUUACUCCGUGCGUGCUCUACACAAUAUGAACCAGAGAUUUGUUUUUUCACCCUACAUCUGUUUUUUCUUUCAUGAGUGUCAACGUUUUACCCACUUAGUUUGUUUUAAGCAGGAUUUUUCAAUUUUGCUACAUAUUUUAUUUUACUCUGGAUUUCUUUAAAAUGAAUACGUUUUUCAGUCAUUGAAGACAAUUCACUUCGACAAAUAUCACACCUUUUUGAUUUAUUUUUUGACAAGUGCACUACUUCCCUGUCUGUUUUCUUUGGUUUUUGAAGAGGUUCUGACAUGAAAACUCCCUCCAUUCUUAUUAAACCAAAAAUAUACCAAAUAUGAUCUAUAAACGUCUUUUAACAUUCAGAAAUGAGACAAAGAAUAACUAUCAUGAUGUAAUGACAGGAGUAUUCGUAAAUCAUAUCUGUAAUUUCCAGACACAUAUAAAGUUCCUGAACAUUUAAUAUCGGACUCUGUUAUUGUAUAUGCAAGUAUAUUCACAAAACUGGGAUAAAACAUGAUUCUCCAUCAGGUCAAACAGAGGACAUUAGUGUGCAUCUUUAGUCAAAGGUCCUGGGAUCUGUUUAAGAUGGUUUAGUGGUUUGGGACAGUUGGACUGGAAAACCACUGAUAAAGAGAAAGGAAAGUAGGGAAGGAAACAAAGUUACUCUUAUCAUUUAAUGUUUGUAAAAUAACAACAAUUUAACUCUGCAACAUAAAUGGAAACAACUUGCCCUCCAAUGACAUUUGAUUUUGAACAUAAUCAACAUUUAACAUAAUUGCAUCAUUUUAUGUCAUGCUCUUUUUUUAUUUACCACAGCCAAUGCUAAGAUUUGAAGAGCCAAGAAUUCUUUUUUGGAAGGGAUGGAAGUCAGAAGGUUCGGCCUAUCUCUAGCUUAAACCAAAUACACAAAUGAGAGCUUAUUUAUAGAGAGCAAGUUCAUGUUGUCUGAGUGUUGAGGAAAAGCUAAUGUUGGUUUUGUAAAACGUUAAAGCUUUGUAAAGUUGGAGUAGGCAUUUGUACCACACAGUGGUCAGAGACCGGGCAACAGGAGGUUAUUGAAGUAUAUUUGGAAUAUAUAUUUGGAAGAUGCCAGAGACGGAGAACUUGAGCAAACCAGAGUCCACAAAACAGUUCUGCUUUAAUUGGUCUUCCAGAUCAACUCUGCUUCUGGAUGUGUCUUAUGCUGUGUAUCAAAGAAAUAACCUUUGCUGGCCCUCUGUUAGUUUCUCUCUCAUCCCUUUUCACUUAAUGCUGGCAUUAAGGCAGAAUACACACCAGGUAGUGGAUGGCUCUUUUUUUAAAGAAUGAAUAAAUAAAAUGUUUAUUUUCUUAAUUGUUUUAAGUUAUUGAUGCAGGUAUACGUUUAUUUCAUUAUCAGGUUCCGCUAUGAUGAAAUGUGUAUUUCUGUAUUGAUAUUGCUUUCCCCUUUCCCCCCUAAAGGAUUGGGGAUGCUUUUAUAUGGUCUUUGGUUUUAGCUCUUUUUCUGUUUUUAAUUUUAAGCAAGGAGGACUGUUAUCUGAAGUGUUAUGUUUGAUUUGUUUCUUAAUAAACUUAUUACAGAGCA